rnacentral:tRNA from 1 species
GGCAAGGUAGCUCAGUGGUAGAGUGCUUGCCUUGCAUGCAUAAGGCCCUGGGUUCAAUUCCUAAGCACCA